CAAUGUGCUAACAGUAAUAGACAAUAGACCCUUAUGAGCAUGUUUAUGAGAAGCUGAAGUUUCAGUAGAAUAGUCCUUGAUUUUUUAAAAAAAUAUUCCUCAUUUUGUAUCCCUGUGUGGAUAAUAAUUUGCCCAUCUGAAAGUGUCUAGUCUGUGCACGGGAACAGAGUUACACAAACGAACGAUGACACACACAGAGAAAUGAAUAAGUCAUGGGUGUAACAGUUGACACAUUUCAAAAUGCUUGGGAAGUGAACAUCCUCGAGAGACCAGCACCUAUUUCAAUGAAUAGAAAAUUACCAAAUUCCAGAAGAUGGUGCUUGCCCCUUCCACUCACUGAGAUCUCCCAGGGUUGUGUUCAUUCUGCCAGCAAAUCCUCACACAGCAGAGACAGCAUCUCCUGCACCUUUGACAAGAGGUUUGAUGCCACCAGAUCAACAGAAAAGUGUUCCAGAAAACCUAUCCCCACAGUAAUGGAAGAAAUACACUUGGAGAGUCCCAGGAUCUUGUAUAUGAAUCGUGUUCUUAUUUUCU